rnacentral:rRNA from 1 species
GUAGGUGGCAAGCGUUGUCCGGAAUUAUUGGGCGUAAAGCGCGCGCAGGCGCUUCUUUAAGUCUGAUGUGAAAGCCCACGGCUCAACCGUGGAGGGUCAUUGGAAACUGGAGAACUUGAGUACAGAAGAGGAAAGCGGAAUUCCACGUGUAGCGGUGAAAUGCGUAGAGAUGUGGAGGAACACCAGUGGCGAAGGCGGCUUUCUGGUCUGUAACUGACGCUGAGGCGCGAAAGCGUGGGGAGCAAACAGGAUUAGAUACCCUGGUAGUCCACGCCGUAAACGAUGAGUGCUAAGCGUUAGGGGGUUUCCGCCCCCCUUAGUGCUGCAGCUAACGCAUUAAGCACUCCGCCUGGGAGUACGGCCGCAAGGCUG